CCAUCUCUUCUUUCUCUCAAACGUGAAACAGAGGGAGCCAGGGAGGCGACCGGCGACAGCCACGACCGUAACCCAGGCCAGGAACGCCGGCGACGAAGGCUAUCACCGGAGACCGAAGAAGACGACCAGUUGUGAGGAUCCCUAAUUGGAGCUCCAAGGAAGCGGUACCUGAAUCGCCGUUCAUUCAGAACAAAAAAAAAUCUUCGUUCAAGUGUAACUGAAAGUUGCAUUUUCAGGACUCCAGGAGCAAACUGAUUGAUGACGGUUGCCGCCGACUUCUGCUACCAAAAAUCCCAAGGUUUUGUUUCUUGUAUCUUCCUGAAUGAUCAAUUAGCCUACCUUGCGCACAGAGGUACAUGUAACUUGGCUUCAGGUCCUAGCCAAAUCAGUCCUACUGUGCGGCACAGGUAACAACAACGUACAGCUGCAACCGAAGGAGUUAUGUGAUAUGUGGAGUACGUGCAGAUGGAGGCAACAGUGGGAGAUGGAGCAGAAUAAGAUUAGAAACCAUGUUCCAGUGUGUCACUAUAUUGAUUCGACAUUUGGUAAGUAUGUGUCCGCUGGUGUUACAAUAAUGCUAGAGUGUGCAAAAAAUUAUGCCAUUAUAAUCGUGAUUUCAGUGCAAGAAUUUUGUAGCCGGUGAUAUGCAUGUUUGAUAAGCUUUUGGACACUAGCCUACUGAAAACCAAGGUGCCAAAUCAAUGAUUGUUCAUCAAAUAAAACCCAUGUUUAUAAGUAUACCUUUAAGUUAAUUUCACUCAGGGACCUGUAUAACAUUCUAUAGUUACUGCAGCUAUGCGCCUGGACAUUAAAAUUUAUUGUGUCUUUAAUGGCAGGAAAGUAUACAGUCUGUAAUAACCGAAAUGAUAGAGAAGGGGUCCUGAAUCUUUUGUUAGUUGGAUUCGCAGUAGUGUUACACCCACCAUGUUAGGUUCCAGGAUUCAAGAUGAGGUGGACGUCCAAGUGAGAGUGCAAACAUGUUUCUGUGGUCACCUAAAUUUUCUUAGUGUCUAGAGAUUUUGUAUUCUCUCUGAUGUUCUUUGAACUUCUGAUGUCCGAGAUUGCCCAUUCGAUAUGAAUUAGUAAAGAAUGAAUGUACUAAUUAGGUUGUUCCCUAGGUUCCUUGCCACCUAGAGGAGCUGUAGAAUUUUAAUUGUGGGGGAAAAAGUAGACAUGUGAUGAUUUGAGUUAAAAAAACGUAGAAGGAUUUGGCUUUCGUACUAGGUUGUUUACUACCAUGAGGAGCUCCAAAGGCUUAACAAAUGCACCUAGCUUAAAGUUGUGGUUUCCGGUUCUUGUGUCUGAGACAUGGCACAUGAAUUUCAGUGACCAUUAUUUGUAGGAAAUCAGUGAGACGUUUGUGUAGUACUAUCUUCAUAUUAAUUUGUUCACAAGACUAUUCUUAGAGGUGUAGUUAAUAACAUUGGCCAUCAUAGCUGCAUCAGUAAUAAUGUUUUCCAUAGCAUUUUCUUCACAAUAUUAUUUUUUUGUACUCUUUUAGCUGCACCUUAAAUUCAUCUAAUAUCUAAAAUACAUGUAUAGGACCCCAUUGAAUGUUGGUGUGAUGUAGUUGCAAACAAUGGUUAUCACAGCCUCAUAGUUUCUUCAGCUCGGAGUAUUACCUUGGAAGAGCCCUUGAUUUAUUUGGGAAAAGAAAGUGGAUGCACCAUGAGUAAUCUACAAAAAGUUGACCUAUCUGCCGCCAAAAAUCAUCAAGUACCGUGGUUCCAAACGAUGUUGUGUAUGGCUUCAGUUGUCCGUACACACCGGGUAAGAAAAUCGCUUCAUGCAUCGCGACUGAAAGCAAGCUCUAGGUAUUGGUAACUACUAAUGUCUUCUGAUUCCUCUAUGUAUAUAAUACUAAUUGUCUCCAGAUUUAUUUAAUCAUUGGAUUAAUCCUUUGCUUUCUUACACAUUGCCCAUGCAGGGGAGACCAAUCAAUCAACUAAAUAGAAGAGUUGUGCUCAUAAUGGCUUGCAUGCAACCAUAAUAUGCAUGGAACAUGUACGUGUACAUUUUUUAUUUAAUUAGUUCACGCGUCAGUUGCAUUUGUGUUCCACUUUGAUUUAUCUAUAAUAGCCUAUAUCUCUA